rnacentral:rRNA from 1 species
AACGAACGCUGGCGGCAGGCUUAACACAUGCAAGUCGAGCGCAUCCUUCGGGGUGAGCGGCGGACGGGUUAGUAACGCGUGGGAACGUGCCCUCUUCUACGGAAUAGCCUCGGGAAACUGAGAUUAAUACCGUAUACGCCCGCUGGGUAACUGGCGGGGAAAGAUUUAUCGGAGGAGGAUCGGCCCGCGUUGGAUUAGGUAGUUGGUGAGGUAACGGCUCACCAAGCCGACGAUCCAUAGCUGGUUUGAGAGGAUGAUCAGCAACACUGGGACUGAGACACGGCCCAGACACCUACGGGAGGCAG